UACGUAGGGUGCGAGCGUUGUCCGGAAUUAUUGGGCGUAAAGCGCUCGUAGGCGGUCUGUUGCGUCAGGUGUGAAAGCUCGGGGCUUAACCCCGAGCCUGCUUCUGAUACGGGCAGACUAGAGGCAUGCAGGGGAGAGCGGAAUUCCUGGUGUAGCGGUGAAAUGCGCAGAUAUCAGGAGGAACACCGGUGGCGAAGGCGGGGAUCUGGGCCGUAACUGACGCUGAGGAGCGAAAGCGUGGGGAGCAAACAGG
rnacentral:rRNA from 1 species